CCUACGGGAGGCUGCAGUGAGGAAUAUUGGUCAAUGGGCGGAAGCCUGAACCAGCCAAGUCGCGUGAGGGAUUAAGGCCCUGCGGGUCGUAAACCUCUUUUGCCGGGGAGCAGAGGUCCGGACGUGUCCGGGCCGGGAGAGUACCCGGAGAAAAAGCAUCGGCUAACUCCGUGCCAGCAGCCGCGGUAAUACGGAGGAUGCGAGCGUUAUCCGGAUUUAUUGGGUGUAAAGGGCGAGUAGGCGGGAUUGCAAGUCAGAUGUGAAAACUAUGGGCUCAACCGAUAGAGUGCAUUUGAAACUGCAGUUCUUGAGUGAUGGAGAGGCAGGCGGAAUUCCCGGUGUAGCGGUGGAAUGCGUAGAUAUCGGGAGGAACACCAGUGGCGAAGGCGGCCUGCUGGACAUUAACUGACGCUGAGGCGCGAAAGCGUGGGGAGCAAACAGGAUUAGAUACCCCUGUAGUC
rnacentral:rRNA from 1 species